UCUCCGUUGGUGAACCGGCGGAGGGAUCAUUACCGAGUUUACAACUCCCAAACCCCUGUGAACAUACCAUUGUUGCCUCGGCGGUGCCUGCUUCGGCAGCCCGCCAGAGGACCCAAACCCUUGAUUUUAUACAGUAUCUUCUGAGUAAAUGAUUAAAUAAAUCAAAACUUUCAACAACGGAUCUCUUGGUUCUG
rnacentral:misc_RNA from 1 species